CAUCUAUACGCGUGAAUCUGCGAAUGGCUCAUUAAAUCAGUUAUCGUUUAUUUGAUAGUACCUUACUACUUGGAUAACCGUGGUAAUUCUAGAGCUAAUACAUGCUAAAAACCCCGACUUCGGAAGGGGUGUAUUUAUUAGAUAAAAAACCAAUGCCCUUCGGGGCUCCUUGGUGAUUCAUGAUAACUUAACGAAUCGCAUGGCCUUGUGCCGGCGAUGGUUCAUUCAAAUUUCUGCCCUAUCAACUUUCGAUGGUAGGAUAGUGGCCUACCAUGGUUUCAACGGGUAACGGGGAAUUAGGGUUCUAUUCCGGAGAGGGAGCCUGAGAAACGGCUACCACAUCCAAGGAAGGCAGCAGGCGCGCAAAUUACCCAAUCCCGACACGGGGAGGUAGUGACAAUAAAUACUGAUACAGGGCUCUUUUGGGUCUUGUAAUUGGAAUGAGUACAAUUUAAAUCCCUUAACGAGGAACAAUUGGAGGGCAAGUCUGGUGCCAGCAGCCGCGGUAAUUCCAGCUCCAAUAGCGUAUAUUAAAGUUGUUGCAGUUAAAAAGCUCGUAGUUGAACCUUGGGCCUGGCUGGCCGGUCCGCCUCACCGCGUGCACUGGUCCGGCCGGGCCUUUCCUUCUGGGGAGCCGCAUGCCCUUCACUGGGUGUGUCGGGGAACCAGGACUUUUACUUUGAAAAAAUUAGAGUGUUCAAAGCAGGCCUAUGCUCGAAUACAUUAGCAUGGAAUAAUAGAAUAGGACGUGUGGUUCUAUUUUGUUGGUUUCUAGGACCGCCGUAAUGAUUAAUAGGGAUAGUCGGGGGCAUCAGUAUUCAAUUGUCAGAGGUGAAAUUCUUGGAUUUAUUGAAGACUAACUACUGCGAAAGCAUUUGCCAAGGAUGUUUUCAUUAAUCAGUGAACGAAAGUUAGGGGAUCGAAGACGAUCAGAUACCGUCGUAGUCUUAACCAUAAACUAUGCCGACUAGGGAUCGGGCGAUGUUAUCUUUUUGACUCGCUCGGCACCUUACGAGAAAUCAAAGUUUUUGGGUUCUGGGGGGAGUAUGGGCGCAAGGCUGAAACUUAAAGGAAU
rnacentral:rRNA from 1 species